rnacentral:miRNA from 1 species
UUUCUCUCUCUCUCUCUCUCUCUCUCUCUCUCUCUCUCUCUGUGUGUGUGUGUGUGAGAGAGAGAGAGAGAGAGAGAGAGAGAGAGAAA